ensembl:lncRNA
UUCUUACUGAAGAUCCUUGUGUACCUGAGGCCUUUUGAAGUUUGGUUUUUUUUGAGAUCAUUCUAAGAAGGAUAUAUCAAGUCUUCUACCAGGACACUGUGCAGUCUUUUUCAGUAUCGCUUCACUCUCCAUUGCCAAGCUUUUAAACAAAAAUAAACCAAGAUAAUGUCUAUAAAUCAUCUUCCCUCCUUUCCAGCUCAGCGCCAGUGGAAGACUGUGACAUUUCUGCAGAGACCAGCUUCAGAGCAGGUCAAGAAAAUUUCCAGAACUUUGCCUGUUCCCUCCACUGAACUCCUGUAUGAUGGUGGGACAUGGUCUCUAUAACAGUCUUCAACCUGCAGGACUGUUCAGUACUGUGCUCCUUAAAAUAGCACUAUUGCUCCAGUAUAAAUGGAGGGAAGGUCCAUAAAUCUGUGCUGCUAGCAGCAGUCUAUGAAGACAAAUGAUGAACUGGGAAAUAUGUUUUGGGCAAUGGAAAGAUGUUCUCGUGUCCCUACUUGCUCCUGCUGCAGGGAUGUUGUCAUCAGGGGAUUAAAACCCCAAAAGAGAUUGUUGCCUGCAGCUAUUUGCGUAUGUAAAAAAAUCUUCAGGAUAUCACCUCCAAGAGAGCUCAAGGUCAUAACUGGUGGAGCUGGGUUUUUCUGCAGAACGUCUGCAUCUGUAGGUAGAUGGUUAAUGAGCUGCUAAUUGGAUAAGAAAAAAGAGGGAAAUGAACAGAGGAGCUGUGUAUCUGAAUCAGUAGAGUUGUGAGAUGUGGAAACAUACAGGGUAUUUUUGGCUGUAGCACUUAUUCCUUCCUUCUCACCUGUGUAGGAGGUGAAUCUUUCCUGGGACUCCCCUGGAGACCUCCUUGUCCCACGUAACUGCUCUGCUGGUGCAUAGAUACGGAGCUCAGGUUCCAUUUCAGCUGGUUGAGGAGCUGUCGCUGACAGCUCUGCCUCUGUGGAGGGAGAGGAGGGAGAAGAUGUUGGCAUAAGUGUCCGUCAGGAGUUUCUGAGAGCUCCUCAUUGAUUCUGCUCCUGAAGUUAACUGUUGUUUACAAAUACACUCUGCAGGGGUCUUGCUAUCCUUACUUUGUGCUUUAGUGAAGGAUGGGGUUUCACCUGAAGUAAAGGUAAGGAAGGAGCAAUCCAAGGGGCCAAGGGUGACAAAGUGGAAGUGGAGUGGAAAAUCUUAGAGCUUUUAUGCCUAAUCACAUGCAUAAAAGGUAUCGGAGUUGAGUGAAAAUAGCCUGUGCCAUCCUGCACAAAUCAUUUAAACUUCCUAUUCCUCAGCAGUCAUGGCAGCAAAAUCAGCAUUCAGGCAAUUUAAUCAUGUUUUCGAGGAUUACUGCAGAUGAGAUCAGUGGCUUUCAGAGGAAGGUGGUGUAGGUGCUCUGUAUCUACAUGCUACUCUGUCCGCUGCUGUCAAAGGGUCACACUGGCAGCUGCUGCCUGGGACAAAUCUCAUUAUUUGGAACAAUGGGAGGGGACCUAAAAGAUCAUGAAGUCCAAUUGCCUGAUCGCUUCAGGGAUAACCAAAAUUAAAGUAUGCUAUUAAGGGUAUUAUCCAAAUGCUUUCUGAAUACUAACAGUAUGGGACGCUGACCACUUCACAAAGAAACCUGUUCCAGUGUUUGGUCAACCUCAUGGUAAAGAAACUUUUCCUGAUAUGUGGUCUGAAUCUCUCCUAACUGUUGAGCUGUGACCACUGAAGAAAAUGUAUAGAUAAUGAUGCUCACAUUCGACCAAUGGAUAGUUUCUCUAAAUUGCACAGAAACCCAGUUAUUUUGGGUUCCCCAAACCAUCACUUUGUUCUGUGAUGAGCAUCUUUCCACUUUCAGCAUCUUGUGGGACUUCUUGCAUCACUGCCUUGCCAAUACAUGAGGAAACUAUAAGCAUUUGGGGGGAAAAAAGAAUUUUGGUUUGUUUUCUUGUUCUCUUCCAUGUAGUCUUUUCAUAAUGGUCCUUAUGGAAAUAUUUCUUUUAAAUAUCAUUUAACUAUUAAAUUAAGAUAUGACCU